GGAUUGGUUGGGCAAUCAGAAGUAGAAUUUUGUUUUCUGAAGCAGAAUAUUCCACAGAUCUAGGCUGCAGAAUGUUCCUUUGCUGAGGAUACCUGGGCAGGAUAAAUGGAGAAGAAUCCUUUACGAGCCUCAUUGUUAAUCCUGUGGCUUCAUCUUGGCCGAGUGAGCAGCAUGUUGAACGUGGAACAGAGUCCUCAGUUGCUGCAUGUUCAGGAAGGAGAGAGCACCAAUUUCACCUGCAAGUUCCCUUCCAGCUCUUUUUAUGCCUUACACUGGUACAGAUGGGAACCUGCAAAAAGCCCAAAGAUCCUGCUUAUAAUUACUGUAAAUGGAGAUGAAAGGGAAGAAGGACGAGCAAGCGCCACUCUUAAUACUAACGAGGGUUACAGCUACUUUUACAUCAAAGGAGCCCAGCCCGAGGACUCAGCCACAUACCUCUGUGCCUCAACACAGUGCUUCUCAGGCACCUGCAGGCCGUACCCAAACCUGUGCCUGCUGCUGCUCUGGGACCAGGGUAGACAAAGAGCCAUGUGUAGGGUAAAAAAAGCAAAUUCAGUGAAUUAG